rnacentral:rRNA from 1 species
GACGAACGCUGGCGGCGUGCUUAACACAUGCAAGUCGAACGGACAGGCCCUGCUCUUGUGGGGUUCUCGAGUGGCGAACGGGUGAGUAACACGUGAGUAACCUCCCCUUGACUUUGGGAUAACUCCUGGAAACUGGGGCUCUUACCGGAUAGAAUCUCCUGCACCAUGUUGGUGGUUGGAAAGUUUCGGCGGUGGGGGAUGGACUCGCGGCUUAUCCGCUUGUUAGGGGGGUUGUGGCUGACCAGGGCUUUGACGGGUAGCCUGCCUGAGAGGGUUACCGGCCACAAUGGGACUAAGAUACGGACCAGAAGCCUACGGGAGGCAGUAGGCGGGAAUAUUGCAGAACGGGGGGAAGCCUGAUACAGCAACGCCGCGUUCGGGAUACCGGCCUUCGGGUUGUAAACCGCUUUCGCCUGUAACGAAGCGUGAGUGACGGUAAUGGGUAAAGAAGCACCGGCUAACUACGUG